rnacentral:lncRNA from 1 species
GCUGGGAAUUGUAGCUCUGAAGAAUAAACUAUCGUUUAUUCUUUUUUUGGAGGGAUGUUUUAAAUGUACGCUGUUGUAAAGAGCCACAGUAUGCAUCUUGUAAUUCAAAAAACAAAGCAAUCCCUCUCAGGCUCCGCCCAUCAACAAGGGGAGGAGCCUACAGUCACAUGAGCAGGAAAGCAAAACUUACUUAGCUCCUGUCCUCAUACAGUGUGGAAAUAAAGCAUGUGAAGGCCGUCUCUCACCGCACAAACCUGAUGCCAAGCUCCCCAGCAUGCUGAGAGGAAGGUGACUGACUUGUGGCAAGGCAAGGGUGAGUACGUAUUGCGACAAGCUAUAGCUUCGAAACAGAACCCCAUUUUUUAGAGUUUGGGCAAAUGGCAUCAUGGCUUAAUAAGCCGGGAUGUGAAGAAGACUUUUGUGCGCAGACACAGGCCCUUAAAGCAAGCGAGCCAAGCGGGGAGUCUUCACCAGGUUCCCGUUUACAUAGAAACCAGGAAGCUGUGGUUAAAAUGGCUCCGCAGCAGUUGGAAAUAAAUAACAAAACUUCAGUUAAAAACCACUGGUAUACUCACACACACGUGUGUGAGUCAUAGCCAUGGAGGAGAAGGAAGAUCUAAAUCAUCCUGUUGUGGCAAGACCACCUGGAAGAAUUUUACCCUCAUGAUUUCUAUAUAAUCAUAUAUCCAUAUAUAACCAUAUAUCCUAGAGAUGAUUUUUAUGUACCCAUGUAUCCUGUUGUUGUUGUUGUUUAGUUGUGUCCGACUCUUCUUGACCCCAUGGACCAGAGCACGCCAGGCACUUCUGUCUUCCACUGCCUCCCGCAGUUUGGUCAAACUCAUGCUGGUAGCUUCGAGAACACUGUCCAACCAUCUCGUCCUCUGUCGUCCCCUUCUCCUUGUGCCCUCCAUCUUUCCCAACAUCAGGGUCUUUUCCAGGGAGUCUUCUCUUCUCAUGAGGUGGCCAAAGUACUGGAGCCUCAGCUUCACAAUCUGUCCUUCCAGUGAGCACUCAGGGCUGAUCUCCUUAAGAAUGGAUAGGUUUUAUCUUCUUGCAGUCCAUGGGACUCUCAAGAGCCUUGUCGUACUCAUCUCCCAAUUUUGAACCAAUCAGUUGUUCCAAAUCCAGUUCUGAUUGUAGCUUCUUGUCCCACAUAGAGAUUUAUCAGGAGACGGAUGAGGUGAUCAGGCACUCCCAUUUCUUUAAGAACUUGCCAUAGUAUCCUAAUGAUGCUUAAAAUCACUAAGGCUUCAGCAGAGCUAAAAGUGCUUAAAUCUCAAGAAUCCAAAGUUUCCCCUUUGCCCUCUUUCUCUCUGCCCUGCUAUUGCGCUUGAAGGAAACAAUAAAUCUGAUGUGUUGGCAUUUUUCUAUAGGGAACCUUCGCCAGACUGCUUCUCAUGUUCACGAGAUGGGGUGGGGGAGUGGUAUAGGAAAGAGCAGCCAGCCACAAUGCAAUGUUCUAAGUCAAUAACGGAUGGUGGGGGUUAUUCAGGCUUCAAUGGUCAAAUAGGUUUUCCUCUUUAUUGCUGAAAAUUGACGCACCAUUUAAGAAAAGCAGAAGUAUUCUUUACAUGGUCAGAGGAAGAGCUUGUGUGCGCUCAUUGGUUUGAUUUUUGCUGCAACAUACAAAUAUGUCAUGUUUUAUGCUGUUUGUACUCAGGUAUAAAACCCCAAUGCACAGGGGCUUCGGGGCCC